ACUCUUCUUUAUAGCAGCAUUUUAAAAAAAUGAUCUAUUUUUAACCACUUAUCCCACCUGAUUCCUGCUUGCCAGCCAUCUAGCCACAAGGGGAAAAAGAGAGAAAGUUGAAAUAUUUCAUUUGUUGCCACGUGAGUCCCAUUUAGGUUACUUCACACAAACUUAACACAAACAGCCUGCAGUGUUGAUCCUCAGAUGGCACAAUAGGCUCCUUCAAAACUCCACGCCCCUCUUUUCCCUCCCCUUCCUGCCUUACUUGUCUCUCAGUCCCCAAAUGGUUUCACAAAAGAGCAAUGGACCAGCAUUGUUGAGACAGAAAUGCUGAGCUCUUUCCCAGUUUGAGAUUUGAUUCCGAUCCCUGGUCUUCAGCCCCUGACCUGAUAGAACAUUGACCUAAAAAAAUUAGGACAGUUGUCCAAACCCCCUAGUUUCCCAUUCCAUUCUGGACUGAUUAUUAGUUCAGUUCUCUAAAGCUCUAGGAAGUUAAUUUUUUCUUCCUUCUUGAGCAAGGUGUGGCCAUUGGGAGUCUAAGUAGGGCUAGAAGAGGAGCUUUUCUAGAACAUUUGGCAGAGCCUUUAGUCAUGCCCAGUGAAAGCAGGUUAACUACAAAGCAGGUUAACAAGGAGCCCCUUGGAGCGGGGGGGGGGCGAGGGGGGGGGGCUUCUCUGUCCCUACUGGGGACUCUGCUCUCACCCUCUACCUCCUUCAACACCCAGUGCCUCUACUUUCCUUCCCCACUGGGCUGCAUUUGGGUUAAAGAUUCUUGGUUCAUCAAAGGAAAAGAGUCAUUGGUCAAAGAACCUGUCCCCACGGUGUUACUUCUGAAACAAAGGGCAUCUCUUGAAUUAGAACAGGAGAGAAAUGGAAAGAAAUGAGUUUCUACUGAUAUCUGUUAGUUCAGGUGAGUAGGUUCAAUGAGAGGUGUGAUUCCAUGAACCUUGGUGGUCAAAGCCUUAACUCUAGGAGAAAUGUCAACACCUCAGACAGUACGGUGGUAAAUGGUGUAUGUGAUCGGGAAUCUUAAAAACCCUGGAAUCAAAUUCUACCUCUGCCAUUUAUGACCUUUCCUACUUUGGGCAACGUUACCUCUCACAGCAUCAGGUUUCUCAUCUGUAAAUCAGGAAAUUGAAAUAUAGACUUCAUAGGGUUGUUGUCAGGAUAAAAAUCAGAUAGCAUCUCCAACCUACAUCAGCAAUAUUAGAUCACGAACCUUCCCCCCUUCCCCCACCCUGAAGGGGUGAUAGAGUAAACCAUUUAUGAGUCGAUAAGAUGAAUCAGUCUGCCGUAGCUUUUCCAACGAUAGCAGAGCUGAAAUGAAAUAAGUUCUGAUUUCAUACCUCAUGUCUACUUUCUUGGAGACUUUGAAAAUUAUACUUGAACAAGCAAGAAAAAAAAAUACUCUGGUGGAUAUAUUAUUGCCAUUUUAAAAAUAAUUUAAAAUAGAGGUUUAAAGCUUUCAGCUAAUUUUCCUAGGCAAAUGAAUCUUCCAUAUAACAAAUGGCAACAUCAAAAUCUUAUAGACUGAGCUGGCAUAUCUAUACCUGGUUUUCUCUAGGGAAAACAAGUUAUCUUUUCUAAAGGACCCAGUCUAACAUCUUUGAGGAGUCAUUGCAUCCCUGAGGAUGUGUAAAGCUGCAUCCCUCAGGCAACUAGGGGGAAAGGGAAUUAACCUAAAUUUAUUUCCAUGAAAGCAGAAAUAUGCUGGAAUCCAGUUUUCCUGAAAUGGUUGAAAUGUACUUUUUAGUUUAUGUAGUCUCAUUAGAGCUAGAGAUUGGUUUUAUAAAAUAUACAUAUGGAGCCUGUAACACAUUCUCUACUUUUCCCCAUCAGCAAAAGGAAACAAGAACAAAAUCGAGUGUUUCUUCAGCACUUGAUUCUUCAUACAACAGUAUGAAAUUAGAUUGUUGUGAGAAUCCCAUUUUUCAGCCAAGGAAUCUUAUAUCCAAGCGUAGCCUGCACGAGAUCAAUGGGUGAGUCAGCAGCUUAACCAGGCAUCCAACUCCAGGCUGCCAGUUCCAAAGUCCACACUCUUCUUGUUGCCACACUCUGCUUUGCGGUGACAACACAUGAACAACAUAUGAGAAAGUUCUUCGUAGGUGCCUAGUAAAUGUUACUUUCUCUAAAUCCUCUGUUUCCUUCAUCAAAACGUGUACGCAGCUCAUUGUAUCCGUGACUGUAUUGUAGACUCACUGAGAAGUGCUAUUCAGAGUCUGGUUACUCAAACCCCCAGGGUAAGAGAUGAAUGUGAAUACAAUAAUUUAAGGACCAGAGAUUCUAAGAACUUCUCCUGCAAGAGUACAGAGUAAAAGAGCAUCAAGUCAGUUUCUAAAAGUAACACACACACACAAAAACGAUAAAUAGAAUACACACAGAAUUCAGGAUUAAAGACUAAAUGGGGAUAAACUACAUCUAAUAGAUCCAUGUUAUAGACACACACACCCCACCCCAAAUAGUAAGUAGAUGUAUUUAGAGAACUGAAAUUAGGGAAGCAGAAGAUUGUUUGGGAGGAAGAGAUAAAAUCUGAAAAGUUGUUAUUUUUAUAAGCACAGCAACCUAGCCAGCAAAGGGCUUUGGACAUAGUAGGUGCUGAAAAAAACAUGUGGAAAAACUCAUUCCAUUUGGCCAUUCUAUUAAUAGUUAUAGCUUGCCAUGCAUACAAUUAAUUUGGCUACCGCAGUUGUUCUUUAGAAUGAAACUGGCUGAAAUGAACACCUAUUGCUGUGGGCUAGUUAAGUCAACAAGUAAGAUUGAGCAGGUGAAGCCUGGUACUCAUUGUAAGGUGUUGUAUGUCCUAAUUCCAGAGGAGAACAGGAAUCUAUCAAAAGCCCUGGGUCAGGUCCUCGCAGAACAUGGCUUAAGACUCAAUGAGAAGUGCUCUUUAGAAUCUGGUUACUCAAACCACCAGGAUAAGAGAUGAUAUGAAAGAUAAUCAGUAGAUCUUCACAGUGUAUCUUGGAAUCAGUGUCAUGGGACAGGCUGACCCCCAGAGAGACAAGGUUGGUUAUGUCUACUCCUUUCCUAAAUUAAAUUGGAGGACAAAUGGGGACACAAGUGUUUGCGAACUACUGUUGUCAACUGCUCUUUGCAAAGCUUAUUUUUUGAGCCCAAGAUAUGCUUCUUUUUUUCUUUCCUUUUUAUGGCAUCACCUGUGGUAUAUGGAAGUUCCUGGGCCAGGGGUCAAAUUGAAGCUGCAGGUGUGGUGCCUGCUAGAGCCAAGGCAACACUGGAUUGGAGCCACAUCUGUGCCCUAUGCCGCAGCUUACAGCAACUCCAGAUGUUUAACCUACUGAGCCAGGCCACUGAUCGAACCCACAUCCUCACAGAGUCAAUGUCCGGAACUUAACCCACAGAGCCACAACAGGAACUCCCAAGGUGUGCUUCUUAUUUUUCUUCCUGAAUUAAAAUAUGUGUACACACACACACACACACACACAUAUAUAUAUUCUGUAAGAAAUCUAAUCUAUAUUCUCAUUUCUUUAUUCAUCAAACUUAUGCCCAGGUAAUGGGAGUUGAUGACCAAAUAUUUUUCCAUUCAGAACAGAACCAUAUGUUUUGUUUGCUGUAAACAGAUUAAAACUUGAAGAUUUUUGAAUUUGCUUUGAAAUGAGGUGUCUUAAAGCUUCAAGUGAAAUCUAAACUAAAAAAAGCAUUUUCUAAGUCUAGCUCUCCAUUUCAUGCUUGGCUUUCAGAGUUCCUUCACAUGCACAGUACACAUUCUACUGAGAAUGAGGGGGUGGGGGAGGCGGCAGGCUCCUGAUACUGAAACCACAAGACAAUAGUCAACUUCAUCGAGCCCUGUCCGUUAACUCUUUAAGACCCUGUAGGGCAAUUUGAGGACUAGCUCUUACAAUCUGGUCAUAAAAACUGGUUGGAACCUUUACCACCACCUAGAGGUCAUUGAACUGAACUGCAAAAACAAAGGAAAACAUUAUUAAAGAGACUUGUAUAGUCCCAUGCCUAUUAUGAUUUUUCCAUUACUAUACUGAACUGACACAAUAUUAGCUCCCUGGGAGAAACAGAUGAUCCUCAGAAAAGGGAUGAUUUUCAACCUCCCAAAUAUAAAGUAGGUCAAGGAACAGGGAAGACCAUCUGGAAAAAGUGGUUGCUCCAAGAAUACUCCUGACUUGAGUUUAAAUUGCCACUUCCCGUACCAGCAACUAUAUUUUGAAAAACAUAUGUUCAACAUGUGCUCCAAAGGCAGCCAUUAAUACCAUCAUCUUGCUUCCUGGUGGUGUAAGAGGCGAACAGAAAUGAAUAUGUUGAUAUCCAGAUUUUUCUUUGUUGUUAUCAAAUUCUGUUGCACUAUUCUCUGUAUCCUAGAACCUAGAUUGCUAGUUCAUUCUUGAUGUAUUUAGGCAAGGUUGGAAGAAGCAAAUUUAAUUUUUUCCCAUGGUUUUAUUCCCUUGAAAAAAACAAUCAUUUUCUUUUAAUAUUUGUGGAACAGAUCAAAAACAUCCUGUCUGAGACAUUUG
rnacentral:lncRNA from 1 species